UACGUAGGGGGCAAGCGUUGUUCGGAUUCAUUGGGCGUAAAGGGUGCGUAGGUGGCGCCGUAAGUCGGGUGUGAAAUUUCGGAGCUUAACUCCGAAACUGCAUUCGAUACUGCGGUGCUUGAGGACUGGAGAGGAGACUGGAAUUCAUGGUGUAGCAGUGAAAUGCGUAGAUAUCAAGAGGAACACCAGUGGCGAAGGCGAGUCCCUGGACAACACCUGACACUGAGGCACGAAAGCUAGGGGAGCAAACAGG
rnacentral:rRNA from 1 species